AACUUUAUAGUCAUUUAAUGAUGUUAGACUGCAAUUCUAAAGGAGUAGUAAAACUGCUAAGGUUU
rnacentral:tRNA from 1 species